rnacentral:misc_RNA from 4 species
CAACCCUCGAACCCCUCCGGGGGGUCGGCGUUGGGGAUCGGGAACCCCUAAGACGGGAUCCCGGCCCCGAAAUACAGUGGCGGUCUCGCCGCAGCCUCUCCUGCGCAGUAGUUUGCACAACUCGCACCGGGAGCGCGGCGCGUCCACGUCCGUAAAACACCCAACUUCUGAAA